CAGCACACUCUUGUGGUUCCCUCGGAUGAGCAGGGUUGGUGGAAGGUUUUUCGACAGGAUGUCCAGCCAGGCCAUGUAGAGGAGUUCAUUCAGGCGGAUCUGGAGAUUUGUCUGGAACAAAGCAAGGGAAAGACACAUGUGUCACCAACGUUGUGCCCGCCAGCGCCAGGUAGCCCUCUAGGAGCUUCUGAGGUCCCCACCAAGG